GGUGAUAUAGCUCAGUUGGUAGAGCAUCGGACUGAAAAUCCGUGAGUCGGUGGUUCGAGCCCACCUAUCACCA
rnacentral:tRNA from 1 species